GUUCGAUCUCAAAUCAGGUAGGACUACCCGCUGAACUU
rnacentral:rRNA from 1 species